AGGGGACCGUUACACUGUAGGAGAGGGAUUGUAGGUCUCACAGUGAACCGGUCUCUGUU
rnacentral:pre_miRNA from 1 species